rnacentral:rRNA from 1 species
UAUAAGACUGGGAUAACUUCGGGAAACCGGAGCUAAUACCGGAUAAUAUAUUGAACCGCAUGGUUCAAUAGUGAAAGACGGUUUUGCUGUCACUUAUAGAUGGAUCCGCGCCGCAUUAGCUAGUUNGGUAAGGUAACGGCUUACCAAGGCAACGAUGCGUAGCCGACCUGAGAGGGAGAUCGGCCACACUGGAACUGAGACACGGUCCAGACUCCUACGGGAGGCAGCAGUAGGGAAUCUUCCGCAAUGGGCGAAAGCCUGACGGAGCAACGCCGCGUGAGUGAUGAAGGUCUUCGGAUCGUAAAACUCUGUUAUUAGGGAAGAACAAAUGUGUAAGUAACUAUGCACGUCUUGACGGUACCUAAUCAGAAAGCCACGGCUAACUACGUGCCAGCAGCCGCGGUAAUACGUAGGUGGCAAGCGUUAUCCGGAAUUAUUGGGCGUAAAGCGCGCGUAGGCGGUUUUUUAAGUCUGAUGUGAAAGCCCACGGCUCAACCGUGGAGGGUCAUUGGAAACUGGAAAACUUGAGUGCAGAAGAGGAAAGUGGAAUUCCAUGUGUAGCGGUGAAAUGCGCAGAGAUAUGGAGGAACACCAGUGGCGAAGGCGACUUUCUGGUCUGUAACUGACGCUGAUGUGCGAAAGCGUGGGGAUCAAACAGGAUUAGAUACCCUGGUAGUCCACGCCGUAAACGAUGAGUGCUAAGUGUUAGGGGGGUUUCCGCCCCUUAGUGCUGCAGCUAACGCAUUAAGCACUCCGCCUGGGGAGUACGACCGCAAGGUUGAAACUCAAG